UACAGGGGGGGCAAGCGUUGUUCGGAAUUACUGGGCGUAAAGGGUUCGUAGGUGGCCACUUAAGUCAGACGUGAAAUCCCUCAGCUUAACUGGGGAACUGCGUCUGAUACUGAGUGGCUUGAGUGCAGGAGAGGAAUGCGGAAUUCCAGGUGUAGCGGUGAAAUGCGUAGAUAUCUGGAGGAACACCGGUGGCGAAGGCGGCAUUCUGGACUGUAACUGACACUGAGGAACGAAAGCGUGGGGAGCGAACAGG
rnacentral:rRNA from 1 species